AGCCUGCAACUCGGCUGCAUGAAGCCGGAAUCGCUAGUAAUCGCGGAUCAGCAUGCCGCGGUGAAUACGUUCUCGGGCCUUGUACACACCGCCCGUCACACCAUGGGAGUCGGUAACACCCGAAGUCUGUAGCCUGACGCAAGAGGGCGCAGCCGAAGGUGGGAUUGAUGACUGGGGUGAAGUCGUAACAAGGUAGC
rnacentral:rRNA from 1 species